rnacentral:rRNA from 1 species
UACGUAGGGCGCGAGCGUUGUCCGGAAUUAUUGGGCGUAAAGAGCUUGUAGGCGGUCUGUCGCGUCUGCUGUGAAAAUCCGGGGCUCAACCCCGGACUUGCAGUGGGUACGGGCAGACUAGAGUGUGGUAGGGGAGACUGGAAUUCCUGGUGUAGCGGUGAAAUGCGCAGAUAUCAGGAGGAACACCGAUGGCGAAGGCAGGUCUCUGGGCCACUACUGACGCUGAGAAGCGAAAGCAUGGGGAGCGAACAGG